rnacentral:misc_RNA from 1 species
UCUCCGUUGGUGAACCAGCGGAGGGAUCAUUACCGAGUGCAAACUCAUAACCCUUUGUGAACCUAUAUCUGUCGCUUCGGCGGCUCGCUCUCGGGCGAGCCCGCCGGUAAUAUCAGUAUCUCUGUUUGAACCCGACGAUACUUCUGAGUGUUCUCAGCGAACAGUUAAAACUUUUAACAACGGAUCUCUUGGCUCUA